UACGUAGGGUGCAAGCGUUGUCCGGAAUUAUUGGGCGUAAAGAGCUCGUAGGCGGUCUGUUGCGUCGGCUGUGAAAACCCGGGGCUCAACCCCGGGCCUGCAGCCGAUACGGGCAGACUAGAGUUCGGCAGGGGAGAGUGGAAUUCCUGGUGUAGCGGUGAAAUGCGCAGAUAUCAGGAAGAACACCCGUGGCGAAGGCGGCUCUCUGGGACGGUACUGACGCUGAGACGCGAAAGCGUGGGGAGCGAACAGG
rnacentral:rRNA from 1 species